AAUGGACGGAAGUCUGAACCAGCCAUCCCGCGUGCAGGAUGAAGGUCCUAUGGAUUGUAAACUGCUUUUAGCAGAGACGAAACGCCUCCAUUUAUGGGGGUCUGACGGUAUCUGCGGAAUAAGCACCGGCUAACUCCGUGCCAGCAGCCGCGGUAAUACGGAGGGUGCAAGCGUUAUCCGGAAUCACUGGGUUUAAAGGGUGCGUAGGCGGGGGAUUAAGUCAGUGGUGAAAGCCUGUAGCUUAACUACAGAAUUGCCAUUGAUACUGAUUUUCUUGAAUUGGGUUGAGGUUAGCGGAAUGUGACAUGUAACGGUGAAAUGUUUAGAUAUGUCAUGGAACACCGAUUGCGAAGGCAGCUAGCUGGGCCUUGAUUGACGCUGAGGCACGAAAGCGUGGGUAGCGAA
rnacentral:rRNA from 1 species